CAACCCCAUAGCGGUCUUAUUCACACAAUCUAUCGUGGGGAUUUGAAAUACAUGUCUUGGAAUUUAUAAACCAAACAAUACAGGUUUCUG